rnacentral:rRNA from 1 species
GAUGAACGCUGGCGGCGUGCCUAAUACAUGCCAGUCGAGCGAACGGACGAGAAGCUUGCUUCUCUGAUGUUAGCGGCGGACGGGUGAGUAACACGUGGAUAACCUACCUAUAAGACUGGGAUAACUUCGGGAAACCGGAGCUAAUACCGGAUAAUAUUUUGAACCGCAUGGUUCAAAAGUGAAAGACGGUCUUGCUGUCACUUAUAGAUGGAUCCGCGCUGCAUUAGCUAGUUGGUAAGGUAACGGCUUACCAAGGCAACGAUGCAUAGCCGACCUGAGAGGGUGGACCGGCCACCCUGGAACUGAGACACGUUCAAGCUUCCUAGGGGAGGCAGCAGUGGGGAACCUUCCGCAAUGGGGGAAGGCCUAACGGACAACGGCGGGGUGGGUGAUGAGGGUCUUCGGAUCGUAAAACUUUGUAUUAGGGAAGAACAUAUGUGUAAGUAACUGUGCACAUCUUGACGGUACCUAAUCAGAAAGCCACGGCUAACUACGUG